UUCGAUGCAACGCGAAAAACCUUACCUACCCUUGACAUGUCUGGAAUCCUGAAGAGAUUUGGGAGUGCUCGAAAGAGAGCCAGAACACAGGUGCUGCAUGGCCGUCGUCAGCUCGUGUCGUGAGAUGUUGGGUUAAGUCCCGCAACGAGCGCAACCCUUGUCAUUAGUUGCUACGAAAGGGCACUCUAAUGAGACUGCCGGUGACAAACCGGAGGAAGGUGGGGAUGACGUCAGGUCAUCAUGGCCCUUAUGGGUAGGGCUACACACGUCAUACAAUGGCCGGGACAGAGGGCUGCCAACCCGCGAGGGGGAGCUAAUCCCAGAAACCCGGUCGUAGUCCGGAUCGUAGUCUGCAACUCG
rnacentral:rRNA from 1 species